GCCUUCGUGAUGUAGUUGGAAGCACACUCGAUCCGUAUCGAGAGGGUCAGGGUUCGAGUCCUGCCGAGGGCA
rnacentral:tRNA from 1 species